rnacentral:rRNA from 1 species
UGGGGAAUAUUGGGCAAUGGGCGCAAGCCUGACCCAGCAACGCCGCGUGUGGGAUGAAGGCUUUCGGGUCGUAAACCACUGUCAGGAGGGAAGAAAUGGGUGGUUCCCAACACGGAUCACCCUUGACGGUACCUCCAGAGGAAGCACCGGCUAACUCCGUGCCAGCAGCCGCGGUAAUACGGAGGGUGCAAGCGUUAUUCGGAAUCACUGGGCGUAAAGCGCGCGUAGGCGGCAGGGCAAGUCAGGUGUGAAAGCCCACGGCUCAACCGUGGAACUGCACUUGAAACUGUCUUGCUAGAGUAUGGGAGAGGGUGGCAGAAUUCCCGGUGUAGGAGUGAAAUCCGUAGAUAUCGGGAGGAAUACCAGUGGCGAAGGCGGCCACCUGGACCAUAACUGACGCUGAGGUGCGAAAGCGUGGGGAGCAAACA